UACGUAGGGUGCGAGCGUUAAUCGGAAUACUGGGCGUAAAGCGUGCGCAGGCGGUGAUGUAAGACAGAUGUGAAACCCCCGGGCUCAACUCGGGGCCUGCAGGCGAAACUGCCGUGCUGGAGUGCGGAAGAGGUGAGUGGAAUUCCCGGUGUAGCGGUGAAAUGCGCAGAUAUCAGGAGGAACACCGGUGGCGAAGGCGGGUCUCUGGGCCGAUAUUGACGCUGAGGAGCGAAAGCGUGGGGAGCGAACAGG
rnacentral:rRNA from 1 species